GCCGGGCGUGGUGGCGUGUGCCUGUAGUCCCAGCUACUCGGGAGGCUGAGGUGGGAGGAUCGCUUGAGCCCAGGAGUUCUGGGCUGUAGUGUGCUAUGCUGAUCAGGUGUCCGCACUAAGUUCAGCAUCAAUAUAGUGACCUCCCGGGAGCCAGGGGACCACCAGGUUGCCUAAGGAGGGGUGAACCAGCCCAGGUCGGAAACGGAGCAGGUCAAAACUCCAGUGCUGAUCAGUAGUGGGAUCGUGCCUGUGAAUAGCCACUGCACUCCAGCCUGGGCAACAUAGCAAGACCCCCGUCUCU
rnacentral:SRP_RNA from 1 species